GGGUCGGAGCUAUCUGGGAAGAUCGCAGACCCCCCUGACUGCAGUGGGACAGGAAAUCCACGAAAAUCGUCGGCUGCUUCCUCCCUCACAGAGAGGUAAUACGAGCAGUUUUGGUAAAGAGCCAAUAGUUAGCUCGUUUUGAACGGCAAACUCCUGGCUAGUUGCUAGGAGGAUUGGAGUUCUCUUUAAAAUGGGGACUCAACAAUCUAAAAAACGGAAAGCUCCACUCUAAACAUGGAGAGGUGUUUUAGGUGGACCUAGACUGCACGGGGACUCUUCGCUCUGGGAAUUCCUCCAUUUGCGCUUCGGGGGGGUAGUGGCUCGGGAAAAAAAGAAUGGCCCGGGGCGAGACGCCCCCCUCCAGGGGCGUCUGCGUCUGUGCUGCCGGCGUGGGGCCGCCUGCGCGGGUUCACUCUGCGCACGCGGUGAACACCGCCGCCCGAUCCGGGCCCGCGGCGAUGGAUUCGGAGCUGUCCCCGCCUGUGGCGGCGGGGACCGCGCUUGCUCCUUUCUCCCCCAUGGACGCGGAGAUCGGCGAUCACCCUUUGCCCCGCAGGCGCCUGAGCGCGACCCUACUGAGCUGCCGCGGCCGCCUGCAAGGUCUGCGCAUGUGUUGUUGCCGGCGGGCUCAGAGUGGCCCCCGCUCGCUCCGGCAGGGACCAGCUCCUGCCCUGCCGCCGCCACUGCUGCUGAUGCCAGUUGCGCGGUGGCUGAGGCAUUCGCCGCCGCAGUGGCGACGCAGGCGGCGGCUGCGGUUGACGCCACACUGAUAGCUUUGGUCUCAGCUGCUUCUGUGAAUGUGGGCUCGCGGCGGGCGUUCGCUGAACCCGGACCGCAGGGACUCCUCCCCCCGCUCGCUGAGACGAAGCAGCGGGCACUGCCCAGACCUGAAGUGGGGGUGGUGCCUGCCUGUCCCUCAGCACUGACGUCUGAACUUGACCCGCCCAGCGGGGCGGAGCCACAGGCGCCUCCAUCCCCAGAUAAAAGGGUGGCUCCCGCUCCUCCCCCGUCUCUGAUGUCAGAGCUUGACCCACCGCCCAUUGGGGUGAGCCCUGCCUUGGCAGAGAUGUGGUUUUCUUCUGCUUUCCCCUCAAUAUCACAGGUAGUCAACCCGGAAGUGGUGACCUCCUUCUCCAGCUCGCCGGAGACGGUGCUGACCCGGCCGCCUCCAACGCCACCGCUUUCAGCCUUGCCAGCCAGAGAGGAUGUCCUUGUCGGUCCACAAGUGGAUGAACGGCUUCCAUCAACGCCUCAGGGUGCCCUGUUGUCUUCUGUCGGCCUGGCACUGCCCUCAUCGCUUUCGCCUCACACCGGGCGUGACAAACAAACGGGACAUGCUUGCUUCAAGCUGAGGCUGCUAUUGACCUGUGAUGCUGAAGACAGAGUGUGUCCUUCCAUUUUGUUGCUGGCCUGUCAAGUUGCUCACCGGAUGACAUUUCUACAAGAUGGACUGUUUUGA
rnacentral:lncRNA from 12 species